GAUGAACGCUGGCGGCGUGCCUAAUACAUGCAAGUCGAGCGAACAGACGAGGAGCUUGCUCCUCUGACGUUAGCGGCGGACGGGUGAGUAACACGUGGAUAACCUACCUAUAAGACUGGGAUAACUUCGGGAAACCGGAGCUAAUACCGGAUAAUAUAUUGAACCGCAUGGUUCAAUAGUGAAAGACGGUUUUGCUGUCACUUAUAGAUGGAUCCGCGCCGCAUUAGCUAGUUGGUAAGGUAACGGCUUACCAAGGCAACGAUGCGUAGCCGACCUGAGAGGGUGAUCGGCCACACUGGAACUGAGACACGGUCCAGACUCCUACGGGAGGCAGCAGUAGGGAAUCUUCCGCAAUGGGCGAAAGCCUGACGGAGCAACGCCGCGUGAGUGAUGAAGGUCUUCGAAUCGUAAAACUCUGUUAUUAGGGAAGAACAAAUGUGUAAGUAACUAUGCACGUCUUGACGGUACCUAAUCAGAAAGCCACGGCUAACUACGU
rnacentral:rRNA from 1 species